CCCGCUGAACUUAAGCAUAUCAAUAAGCGGAGGAAAAGAAACUAACAAGGAUUCCCCUAGUAACGGCGAGUGAAGAGGGAAAAGCUCAAAUUUUGAAUCUGGUGUCUUUGGCGCCCGAGUUGUAAUCUAGAGAAGUGUUUUCCGCACCGGACCGUGCACAAGUUCCCUGGAACGGGGCGUCAUAGAGGGUGAGAAUCCCGUAUAUGGCACGGACUACCGGGGCUCUGCGAUACACUCUCAACGAGUCGAGUUGUUUGGGAAUGCAGCUCAAAAUGGGUGGUAAAUUCCAUCUAAAGCUAAAUACUGGCCAGAGACCGAUAGUGCACAAGUAGAGUGAUCGAAAGAUGAAAAGCACUUUGGAAAGAGAGUCAAAAAGUACGUGAAAUUGUUGAAAGGGAAGCGCUUGCAACCAGACCUGCCUGCAGUUGCUCAUCCGGGCUUUUGCCCGGUGCACUCUUCUGCUGUCAGGCCAGCAUCAGUCCGGGCGGUCGGAUAAAGGCUUCGGGAAUGUAGCUCCUCUCGAGGAGUGUUAUAGCCCGUUGCGAAAUGCGGCCAGCCUGAACUGAGGUCCGCGCUUCGGCUAGGAUGCUGGCGUAAUGGUUGUAAGCGGCCCGUCUUGAAACACGG
rnacentral:rRNA from 1 species